rnacentral:lncRNA from 1 species
CUCAGAGAGAAGAGCUAAGCCCAAGGGUGACUUCAGUCUGAGACAUGGCCAAGUGUCAUAGAAAGUGGAAAAACUGAAUCAACUGUAUAUUUCUCCAGAUAUCACAUGAUCCUUUGUGUUGGGACCUACGACUGGAAUUCACUGGGAACUAAAUUUCUCCAAGUACUAUGUGUUCCCCUUUGCUGGAAAAGACUGAGUGGAUGAAGACCCAAGGUACGUUUUACUUUCCCUGUUGAUUUCUUCAAAAAAUAGCAAAUGUUGGAGAGGAUGUAGAAAAGGGAGCACUCUUACACUGCCGGUGG